rnacentral:rRNA from 1 species
CCUUUCUUUGAAGUAGGCAAUCGGCGCCAGGAAAGCUGCACCGACAAGCUGCCGAAGAGCGAUAAGAACGACGGGGUUGAGGCCGCCAUCGAGCGCCUUCUUCACGAGCACUGUCAUCACCGCAAAGAGCGUGUCGAAGGCGAUCAUGGCCGCCACCGGCUUCAGCAGCUCAAUCCACCCCAUUGAUUCUGCACAAACCAGAGAGGU